UACGGCCAUAUUACGUUGAAUCACCGGUGUCCGUAUGAUCAUCGAAGUUAAGCGACGUCUAGCCCGGACAGUACCUAGAUGGGUGACCGCUUGGGAAUAACAUGUUCUG